GAGAGAGUACGGUAAUCUAACACAUCUUUGAACGGCGCAAUGUCUAAUUAACUCACUGAACGUUACUCCUCGCCUCUGAUACAUGCGCGCCACACACCCUCUUGCCUCACACCCUCACCGCUGCGCCAACACACGCGUCAUGCACUCCACACCCCGGGCCGCUGCUGUGCCGGACCUAACGUGAGUACAGGCAGGAUGAUUAAUGCAUGGACGCUACCUGAUGUUGACUCUCCAUGCAUGCACACACCGCCACGUCACUAAGACACCUCCCAUGCAUAUAGAUCCCCAAGGACAUCAGGGUGUUAUUAAAGGUGCGAGAGGGCUCAGAAUGGCUUACUUACCAAAGAAAAAUAGCGAUAAAUAGUAGAAAUAGUCCUGUUUUAUCUUUUCCUCAUGCAUUCACACAACAUCAGAGGACAUCAGGAUAUUUUAAAAGACGCAAGAAGGCUCAGAAUGACAUACUCACCAAAGGAAAUUAGUGAUAUGUGUAAGUAUAAGUAAUGCAGUUCUAUCUUUUCGUCAUGCAUUCACACACCUUUACGUCACAAUCACUUCUCUGAAAACACUCAAGGAAGUCAGGAUACCAUAGAAGGUGUACAUGUUAUCAGAUAAGCUUACUAACGGUGGAAUAAUAGUAAUAGGAAUCUUAGGAAUUAUGCAUGAUGGGCAGAGUGGCAGGAAUAGAAGGAUAGAAAAUUAGUAGUAUGAACCUAAGAAAUAAUGCAUGAUAGACAGACUGGCAUGAAUAAAAGGA